GUCUACAGCCAUGCCACCCUGAACAAGCCCGAUGUCUGAUCUUGGAAGCUAAGCAGGGUUGGGCCUGGUUAGUACUUGGAUGGGAGACCACCUAGGAAGACCAGGUGCUGUAGGCA
rnacentral:rRNA from 1 species